rnacentral:rRNA from 1 species
GACGAACGCUGGCGGUGUGCUUAACACAUGCAAGUCGAGCGAUGAAGUUUUUUCGGAAAUGGAUUAGCGGCGAACGGGUGAGGAACACGUGAAGAAUCUGCCCUCCACUUGGGAUAACACAGGGAAACCUGUGCUAAUACCGAAUAUUGAAACAUAAGUGGCAUCACUGAGUUUUGAAAGAAUUUCGGUGGAGGAUGACUUCGCGGCCUAUCAGCUAGUUGGUGAGGUAAUGGCUCACCAAGGCAACGACGGGUAGCCGGCCUGGGAGGGCGACCGGCCACACUGGGACUGAGACACGGCCCAGACUCCUACGGGAGGCAGCAGUGGGGAAUAUUGGGCAAUGGAGGAAACUCUGACCCAGCGACGCCGCGUGCGGGAUGAAGGCCUUCGGGUUGUAAACCGCUUUCAGUAGGGAAGAAGCGAAAGUGACGGUACCUACAAAAGAAGCACCGGCUAACUAUGUGCCAGCCGCCGCAGUAA